CCUACGGGAGGCAGCAGUGAGGAAUAUUGGUCAAUGGACGAGAGUCUGAACCAGCCAAGUAGCGUGAAGGAUGACUGCCCUAUGGGUUGUAAACUUCUUUUAUAUGGGAAUAAAAUGUUCCACGUGUGGGAUUUUGUAUGUACCAUAUGAAUAAGGAUCGGCUAACUCCGUGCCAGCAGCCGCGGUAAUACGGAGGAUCCGAGCGUGAUCCGGAUUUAUUGGGUUUAAAGGGAGCGUAGGUGGAUUGUUAAGUCAGUUGUGAAAGUUUGCGGCUCAACCGUAAAAUUGCAGUUGAAACUGGCAGUCUUGAGUACAGUAGAGGUGGGCGGAAUUCGUGGUGUAGCGGUGAAAUGCUUAGAAAUCACGAAGAACUCCGAUUGCGAAGGCAGUUCACUGGACUGCAACUGACACUGAGGCUCGAAAGUGUGGGUAUCAAACAGGAUUAGAUACCCGGGUAGUC
rnacentral:rRNA from 1 species